GAUUAUGGCUCAGAACGAACGCUGGUGGCGUGUCUUAUACAUGCAAGUCGAGCGAGGCAGCAAUGCCGAGCGGCGAACGGGUGAGUAACGCGUAAGCAAUCUGCCCCAUAUCAGGAAAUACCCGUGCCAACGCGCGGUUAAUGUCCAGGAGAGUGGCCUUCCGCAUGGAGGGUUGACUAAAGAUUUAUCGGUAUGGGAUGAGCUUGCGUCCGAUUAGCUAGUUGGCGGGGCAACGGCCCACCAAGGCGAUGAUCGGUAGCCGGCCUGAGAGGGUGAUCGGCCACAUUGGGACUGAGAUACGGCCCAGACUCCUACGGGAGGCAGCAGUAGGGAAUAUUGCACAAUGGGGGAAACCCUGAUGCAGCAACGCCACGUGUGGGAAGAAGCAUUUCGGUGUGUAAACCACUGUCAUGAGGGAAUAAGGCCCGCCUUCGGACGGGAUUGAAUGUACCUUGAGAGGAAGCACCGGCAAACUUCGUGCCAGCCGCGGC
rnacentral:rRNA from 1 species